GACGAACGCUGGCGGCGUGCUUAACACAUGCAAGUCGAACGGAAAGGCCCUGCUUUUGUGGGGUGCUCGAGUGGCGAACGGGUGAGUAACACGUGAGUAACCUGCCCUUGACUUUGGGAUAACUUCAGGAAACUGGGGCUAAUACCGGAUAGGAGCUCCUGCUGCAGGGUGGGGGUUGGAAAGUUUCGGCGGUUGGGGAUGGACUCGCGGCUUAUCAGCUUGUUGGUGGGGUAGUGGCUUACCAAGGCUUUGACGGGUAGCCGGCCUGAGAGGGUGACCGGCCACACUGGGACUGAGAUACGGCCCAGACUCCUACGGGACGCAGCAGUGGGGAAUAGUGCACAAUGGGCGGAAGCCUGAUGCAGCCACGCCGCGUGCGGGAUGACGGCCUUCGGGUUGUAUACCGAUUUCGCCUGUGACGAAGCGUGAGUGACGGUAAUGGGUAAAGAAGCACCGGCUAACUACGUG
rnacentral:rRNA from 1 species